UGGCAAGACUUGAAUAGGCUGGUGAUGA
rnacentral:piRNA from 1 species